rnacentral:rRNA from 1 species
UAAGGAAUAUUGGACAAUGGAGGCAACUCUGAUCCAGCCAUGCCGCGUGAAGGAAUAAGGCCCUAUGGGUUGUAAACUUCUUUUAGACGGGACAAAACCCCUUUACGUGUAAAGGGUUGAUGGUACUGUCAGAAUAAGCAUCGGCUAACUUCGUGCCAGCAGCCGCGGUAAUACGAAGGAUGCAAGCGUUAUCCGGAAUUAUUGGGUUUAAAGGGUGCGUAGGCGGACUAAUAAGUCAGUGGUGAAAGCCUGCAGCUUAACUGCAGAAUUGCCAUUGAUUCUGUUAGUCUUGAGUACAGUUGAGGUAGGCGGAAUGUGUCAUGUAGCGGUGGAAUGCUUAGAUAGAACACUGAACACCGAUUGCGAAGGCAGCUUGCUAAGCUGUAACUGACGCUGAGGCACGAAAGCGUGGGGAGCAAACA